rnacentral:tRNA from 1 species
GGAGAGUUGGCCGAGCGGUUGAAGGCGGUGGUCUUGAAAACCACUUUGGGGGUAACCUCAACGGGGGUUCGAAUCCCUCACUCUCCGCCA